rnacentral:rRNA from 1 species
AAGUUUCAACAACGGAUCUCUUGGCUCUCGCAUCGAUGAAGAACGCAGC